rnacentral:rRNA from 1 species
GACGAACGCUGGCGGCGUGCUUAACACAUGCCAGUCGAACGGAAAGGCCCUGCUUUUGUGGGGUGCUCGAGUGGCGAACGGGUGAGUAACACGUGAGUAACCUGCCCUUGACUUUGGGAUAACUUCAGGAAACUGGGGCUAAUACCGGAUAGGAGCUCCUGCUGCAUGGUGGGGGUUGGAAAGUUUCGGCGGUUGGGGAUGGACUCGCGGCUUAUCAGCUUGUUGGUGGGGUAGUGGCUUACCAAGGCUUUGACGGGUAGCCGGCCUGGGAGGGUGACCGGCCACAUUGGGACUGAGAUACGGCCCAGACUCCUACGGGAGGCAGCAGUGGGGAAUAUUGCACAAUGGGCGGAAGCCUGAUGCGGCAACGCCGCGUGCGGGAUGACGGCCUUCGGGUUGUAAACCGCUUUCGCCUGUGACGAAGCGUGAGUGACGGUAAUGGGUAAAGAAGCACCGGCUAACUACGUG